rnacentral:lncRNA from 1 species
GGUUAGCAGGUUAAUAAGUAAAAUAAAUGGGUUUGGGUUAGUGGAUUAUUGAGUGUGGGCUGUGGGUUGUGGUUAUGGGUUGAAGGGUUAGAGUUCGGAUCAGCUCAUGAGUGGUAGGGUUGGGUUUAGGUUUGGGUUAGGAUCAAGGGUUAGGGUUAGGUUAGUGGUAGGGUUGGAUUUGGGUUAGGAUUAGGGUUAGGUUAGCUGUUAGCAUUAAGGUUAGGUUUGGAUUAGUGUUGUAGAGAAUGGUAUGAUGAAGGGGAUGAGAAAAAAGAAAAAAUAAUUGAGGAAGAGGUAG